AUCCAGCUGACGAGUCCCAAACAGGACGAUACGCGCGUCCUGGAU
rnacentral:hammerhead_ribozyme from 1 species